rnacentral:rRNA from 1 species
UACAGAGGUCCCAAGCGUUGUUCGGAUUCAUUGGGCGUAAAGGGUGCGUAGGCGGCGCGGUAAGUCGGGUGUGAAAUCUCGGGGCUUAACUCCGAAACUGCAUUCGAUACUGCCGUGCUUGAGGACUGGAGAGGAGACUGGAAUUUACGGUGUAGCGGUGAAAUGCGUAGAUAUCGUAAGGAAGACCAGUGGCGAAGGCGGGUCUCUGGACAGUUCCUGACGCCGAGGCACGAAAGCGUGGGGAUCAAACAGG